rnacentral:rRNA from 1 species
UACGUAGGGGGCAAGCGUUGUCCGGAAUCAUUGGGCGUAAAGCGCGUGUAGGCGGCCCGGUAAGUCCGCUGUGAAAGUCGGGGGCUCAACCCUCGAAUGCCGGUGGAUACUGUCGGGCUAGAGUGCGGGAGAGGCGAGUGGAAUUCCUGGUGUAGCGGUGAAAUGCGCAGAUAUCAGGAGGAACACCAAUUGCGGAGGCAGCUCGCUGGAACGUAACUGACGCUGAGACGCGAAAGCGUGGGGAGCAAACGGG